GAGGGCUUUGCGCGCGCGGGGCGGAGGGGUUCGCUCGCCGGCCGGCGGGUCUGGUUGAAAGGAGCCGCGCGCACGGGACGGAGUGGUCUGGUCGCGCGCGGAGGGGUCGGCCGUGAGGAGGGGUCGCGUGCGGAGGGGACAGGCGCCGGCGUCAACAACCCUCCCUCCACAGAGAAACUGUGGGAUGUUAUGCUGUGACUCCAUAGAGAAACCGGUCCAUGUUCUUUUGCAUGAAGGUGAUAGCCAAAUAUAAAGUGCAAGUAUUAUAGUAUUAAACUAGUUUGAAAUGCAAAUUGCAAUGACAGCGCCUUUGAGACCAAGACCAAGUUUCAUAUCAAAAGCCCAACAGAGAAGGAUGUGUAGUAAGCUAGUGAGUCUAGUUGCUACCACCAUAGGAAAGACUAUGUUUUGGGUUUGUAGGAACUUGGUGAUGUAGCGAAGAAGCCCAUAGGCUGAAAGGCUUGGAAUCAUGUAUCUUGCAUAAAGUUGGGCUUGAGCUGCAAUUGUUUUGUCUUGGUGAAAAACUAAAAUGGCUCCUACCCAUCUCCGUUAUUUGGGUCUUUUUAGGACCCAUUCUAGUUGUUCUUCACCGAGACAAAACAAUUGCAGCUCAAGCCCAACUUUAUGCAAGAUACUUGAUCCCAAGCUCCUUUCAGCCUAUGGGCUUCUUCGCUGCAUCACCAAGUUCCUACAAACCCAAAACAUAGUCUUUCCUAUGGUGGUAGCCUCUGGACUCACUACCUUACUACACAUCCUUUUCUGUUGGGCUUUUAAUCUGAAACUUGGCUUGGUUUGAAAGGCGCUGCCAUUGCAAUUUGCAUUUUAAACUGGUUUAAUACUAUAAUACUUGCACUUUAUAUUUGGCUCUCUCCUUCAUGCAAAAACACUUGGACCGGUUUCUCUACGGAGUCACUGCAUAACAUCCCACAAUUUCUUAGACUUGCUUUUCCUUCAACACUCAUGGUGUGCUUAGAAUCAUGGACGUUUGAAAUAAUGGUUCUUCUGUCUGGUGCUUUUCCUAAUGCAAAAUUGGAAACUUCAGUUCUUUCUAUAUGCCUCAACACAUCUGGUAUACUUUGGAUGGUACCAUUUGGAGUUAGUGAUGCUGGAAGUACAAGAAUCUCAAAUGAAUUAGGGGCUGGUAAACCAAAAACUGCAUAUUUAGCAGUUAAAGUCAGCAUGUUCUUGGCCUUCACAGUGGGGAUUUUAGAAUUUGCAGUCCUUAUGUCAGCAUGGUAAGUUUGGGGGCAUGCUUUUACCAAUGUACAUGAAGUGGUCCUAUAUGUGACUUCCAUGGUGCCAAUUCUUGCAAGCUUUGCCUUCAUAGAUUCAAUUCAAACAGCAUUUCAAGGUAUUGCCAGAGGAUGCGGUUGGCAGAAACUUGGUGCAAUUGUCAAUCUAGGAUCUUUUUAUUUUAUAGGCGCUCCUUUUUCUGUUGUGACAGCUUUUGUCCUCCAUAUGAAAGGACGGGGGCUAUUUUUAGGGAUAGUACUGGCAAUUAUCAUUCAAAUGUUGUGUUUUCUUGUGAUCACCCUACGUGCCAAUUGGGAGGAAGAAGCAAAUAAGGCAACAAAAAGGGUAGGAGGCAGUGGAGUCCAACUUCAAGAACUUUCGGUUGACCAAAAUGUUAAUUCUGCUCGAUAGAUAGUUGAAGAACCAUUUCUAGAUUUGUGUAGAACUAGAGUGACUUACCUUGAAAUAAAUGCAUACCAAUGUACUUAUAGCACAUCCAUGAGUAAUUAUUCCUUAGCGUA